GACAGAGGUGCCGAGCGUUAGGCGGAAUCACUGGGCUUACAGCGUGUGUAGGCGGGCCGUUAAGUACCUUGUGAAAUCCCCCGGCUCAACCGGGGAAUGGCUGGGUAUACUGGCGGUCUUGAGCGAUCUAGGGGCAGAUGGAACAAGUGGUGGAGCGGUGAAAUGCGUAGAUAUCACUUGGAACGCCAAAGGUGAAGACAGUCUGCUGGGGAUCUGCUGACGCUGAGACACGAAAGCCAGGGGAGCGAACGGG
rnacentral:rRNA from 1 species